GACGAACGCUGGCGGCGUGCUUAACACAUGCAAGUCGAACGGAAAGGCCCUUCUUUUUUCUCGUGCUCCGAACGGGUGAGUAACACGUGCGUAACCUUCCCUUGCCUUUGGGUUAACCCUCGGAUCCGGGGGCUAAUACUAGUUACUCCUUCUAGAUCCCGUUGUUUGGUUGGGAUAGUUUUGCGGUCUGGGAUGGACUCGCGGCUUAUCAGCUUGUUGGUGGGGUAAUGGCCUACCAAGGCCAGGACGGGUAGCCGGCCUGAGAGGGCGACCGGCCACACUGGGACUGAGAUACGGCCCAGACUCCUACGGGAGGCAGCAGUGGGGAAUAUUGCACAAUGGGCGGAAGCCUGAUGCAGCGACGCCGCGUGAGGGAUGACGGCCUUCGGGUUGUAAACCGCUUUCAGCAGGGACGAAGCGUAAGUGACGGUACCUGCAGAAGAAGCGCCGGCCAACUACGUG
rnacentral:rRNA from 1 species